rnacentral:rRNA from 1 species
UACAGAGGUCCCGAGCGUUGUUCGGAUUCACUGGGCGUAAAGGGUGCGUAGGUGGUGAGGAAAGUCGGAUGUGAAAUCUCCAAGCUCAACUUGGAAAUGGCAUUGGAAACUACCUUGCUGGAGGUUUGGAGGGGGGACUGGAAUACUUGGUGUAGCAGUGAAAUGCGUAGAUAUCAAGUGGAACACCAGUGGCGAAGGCGAGUCCCUGGACAACACCUGACACUGAGGCACGAAAGCGAGGGGAGCAAACAGG